rnacentral:rRNA from 1 species
CGGUUCCUAUUCCGGAACCCAGUAUCGGAACCGUUUCCAAUCGGGCCCUUACAGCUCGUCAGGGUAACCUAACAUGCCCCGGAGACGCCGUCGGGAGCUGCCGGGAGAGUUAUCUUUUCUGUAUAAGUGCGCAUACUCCCUGGAAGCCUCUAGCAGGGAGAUAGGGAGCAGCGCGCGAAGAGCACCGCACUUGCGGCGGUGUCGGCAGCGUCCUCUCGGACCUUGAAAAUCCGGGUGAGGGCCACGUGGACGUCCGAUCUGGUUCGUACCCAUAUCCGCAGCAGGUCUCCAAGGUGAAGAGCCUCUAGUCGAUAGAAUAAUGUAGGUAAGGGAAGUCGGCAAAUUGGAUCCGUAACUUCGGGAUAAGGAUUGGCUCUGAGGUUCUAGGUGAGUCGGGCUUGUUUGAGAAGCGGUCGGUUCUUGAUCGUCGCCGGGCCUGGGUGCGGUCGAGCCUCUCGGGGCGAGAUCUAUCCCGGUCCCGCUGCGUCGGCCUACCCCGUGGACCUUUCAAGCUUCAGGGCGUCGGGGGUUACGGCGGCCGGGCAACCGGUCGUUCCCCGCGCGUCCUACGGCCACCAUCUAAAGAACGACUUAGAACUGGCACUGACCAGGGGAAUCCGACUGUCUAAUUAAAACAAAGCAUUGCGAUGGCCCUCGCGGGUGUUGACGCAAUGUGAUUUCUGCCCAGUGCUCUGAAUGUCAACGUGAAGAAAUUCAAGCAAGCGCGGGUAAACGGCGGGAGUAACUAUGACUCUCUUAAGGUAGCCAAAUGCCUCGUCAUCUAAUUAGUGACGCGCAUGAAUGGAUUAACGAGAUUCCCACUGUCCCUAUCUACUAUCUAGCGAAACCGCUGGCAAGGGAACGGACUUGCAGAAAUCGGUGGGGAAAGAAGACCCUGUUGAGUUUGACUUUAGUUUGGCAGCGUAUAACGACAUGAAGGGCGUAGCAUAAGUGGGAGUGGCUUGCCACGCCUUUGAAAUACCACUACUUUCAUCGUUGUUGUACUUACUCGGUUGGGCGGAGCGCGCCCCCUCGGGGCCCAAACCCCUUGGGAAGGCGGUCGUUCUAGCGCCAAGCGUAGAGAUCGGUGCGGACUGGCGGAUCCGGCCGGGGAAAGCCUAGGCCCUCCUCGUGGGGGUUCGAAGCCGGUACUCGGACGCCCGUCUGGACGCCCGAGCUAUUCCCUGCGUGAUCCGAUCCGAGGACACUGCCAGGCGGGGAGUUUGACUGGGGCGGUACAUCCAUCAAAGAAUAACGUGGGUGUCCUAAGACCAGCUCAGUGAGGACAGAAACCUCGCGUAGAGCAAAAGGGCAAAAGCUGGUUUGAUCCCGAUGUUCAGUACGCACAGGGACUGCGAAAGCAAGGCCUAUCGAUCCUUUUGGCUUGAAGAGUUUUCAGCAAGAGGUGUCAGAAAAAU